AGUGAACGCUGGCGGUAGGCCUAACACAUGCAAGUCGAACGGCAGCACAGUAAGAGCUUGCUCUUACGGGUGGCGAGUGGCGGACGGGUGAGGAAUACAUCGGAAUCUACUUUAUCGUGGGGGAUAACGUAGGGAAACUUACGCUAAUACCGCAUACGACCUACGGGUUAAAGCAGGGGAUCUUCGGACCUUUCGCGAUUGAAUGAGCCGCUGUCGGAUUAGCUAGUUGGCGGGGUAAAGGCCCACCAAGGCGACGAUCCGUAGCUUGUCUGAGAGGAGGAUCAGACACACUGGAACAGAGGCAGCGUCCAGAGUCCUACGGGAGGCAGCAGUGGGGAAUAUUGCACCAUGGAGAGAAGCCUGAUCCAGCCAUACCGCGUGAGUGAAGAAGGCCUUCGGCUUGUAAAGGGCUUUUGUUGGGAAAGAACAGCAACAGGUUGAUACCCCGAUAUUAUGACGGUACCCAAAGAAUAAGCAACGGCUAACUACGUG
rnacentral:rRNA from 1 species